AAAUUGAAGAGUUUGAUCAUGGCUCAGAUUGAACGCUGGCGGCAGGCCUAACACAUGCAAGUCGAACGGUAACAGGAAGCAGCUUGCUGCUUUGCUGACGAGUGGCGGACGGGUGAGUAAUGUCUGGGAAACUGCCUGAUGGAGGGGGAUAACUACUGGAAACGGUGGCUAAUACCGCAUAACGUCGCAAGACCAAAGAGGGGGACCUUCGGGCCUCUUGCCAUCAGAUGUGCCCAGAUGGGAUUAGCUUGUUGGUGAGGUAACGGCUCACCAAGGCGACGAUCCCUAGCUGGUCUGAGAGGAUGACCAGCCACACUGGAACUGAGACACGGUCCAGACUCCUACGGGAGGCAGCAGUGGGGAAUAUUGCACAAUGGGCGCAAGCCUGAUGCAGCCAUGCCGCGUGUAUGAAGAAGGCCUUCGGGUUGUAAAGUACUUUCAGCGGGGAGGAAGGUGUUGUGGUUAAUAACCGCAGCAAUUGACGUUACCCGCAGAAGAAGCACCGGCUAACUCCGUGCCAGCAGCCGCGGUAAUACGGAGGGUGCAAGCGUUAAUCGGAAUUACUGGGCGUAAAGCGCACGCAGGCGGUCUGUCAAGUCGGAUGUGAAAUCCCCGGGCUCAACCUGGGAACUGCAUUCGAAACUGGCAGGCUUGAGUCUUGUAGAGGGGGGUAGAAUUCCAGGUGUAGCGGUGAAAUGCGUAGAGAUCUGGAGGAAUACCGGUGGCGAAGGCGGCCCCCUGGACAAAGACUGACGCUCAGGUGCGAAAGCGUGGGGAGCAAACAGGAUUAGAUACCCUGGUAGUCCACGCCGUAAACGAUGUCUACUUGGAGGUUGUGCCCUUGAGGCGUGGCUUCCGGAGCUAACGCGUUAAGUAGACCGCCUGGGGAGUACGGCCGCAAGGUUAAAACUCAAAUGAAUUGACGGGGGCCCGCACAAGCGGUGGAGCAUGUGGUUUAAUUCGAUGCAACGCGAAGAACCUUACCUGGUCUUGACAUCCACGGAAGUUUUCAGAGAUGAGAAUGGUGCCUUCGGGAACCGUGAGACAGGUGCUGCAUGGCUGUCGUCAGCUCGUGUUGUGAAAUGUUGGGUUAAGUCCCGCAACGAGCGCAACCCUUAUCCUUUGUUGCCAGCGGUCCGGCCGGGAACUCAAAGGAGACUGCCAGUGAUAAACUGGAGGAAGGUGGGGAUGACGUCAAGUCAUCAUGGCCCUUACGACCAGGGCUACACACGUGCUACAAUGGCGCAUACAAAGAGAAGCGACCUCGCGAGAGCAAGCGGACCUCAUAAAGUGCGUCGUAGUCCGGAUUGGAGUCUGCAACUCGACUCCAUGAAGUCGGAAUCGCUAGUAAUCGUGGAUCAGAAUGCCACGGUGAAUACGUUCCCGGGCCUUGUACACACCGCCCGUCACACCAUGGGAGUGGGUUGCAAAAGAAGUAGGUAGCUUAACCUUCGGGAGGGCGCUUACCACUUUGUGAUUCAUGACUGGGGUGAAGUCGUAACAAGGUAACCGUAGGGGAACCUGCGGUUGGAUCACCUCCUUA
rnacentral:rRNA from 1 species